UUGUAAAAACAUAUGAAAGUUUCAAUGUUAGUGUUUGUUAUUUAUGUUUGAUCUGUAAUAUGAGAAACGAUAAGAAAGACUGCUAGUUGCCAAGUUUAAGUGCUGAAAUAGAACCUCUCAUUAUAUCUCAGUUGUUUUAUCUAUCUACCGGUACGCAAGCUAAGAUUUGACAUUUUUGUGUGUACGGAUGUAAAAUCACAUUUAUUGAGUAUUUACAAAAAUUCAAGCAUACUUGUACGCAAUAUACUUAAUAGGAAUAAUAUUUAUAAAUAUUUACGUAAUUUACGCAUAUACGUAGCUUAUCUGUACCUCUGGUACACAAAGAGUAUCGCAGAAUUGUGUUCCUAUCAGCGUGAUCCAAUGUCCCUCUUGUCAAUAAAAGGAUGCAGUUGAUGAGAAAAUUCUCAUAUUUCCUGUGAGGAAGUUCCAUAGAUCAACCACAUAUAUUAAAGAAUUGACGACAUGGACAUACAUGUACCUCUCGUUAGUCAUUGUUUGUAUAUGUAUCAGGGCUGCCAUUCAGCUGGAAUAUUGCUGAGUGUGGCGUUAAACAAUAAAUAAAAACAUUUAAUCAGGAAAUCCCUAAACUGUCUUUUAGGAACAAAUCAUGAGUAGUCUGAAGAAUAAGGUUGGACUGGGCUCAUGUCAUUAAGUCUUCGGUUCUCUUUGAUGUCUUGGUCUAGAUGUCAGAGAUGUCAACCAGUGCAUGUUGAUUAGUGAACUAGCUCAGAAUUUGACGUGAAGAAUAUGUCGUUCCAAAUUCCUGUACUUGGUUUGGAUGAAAAUAUGUCAAAGACAGCAAUGAGUGGAGUUUCCAGCUCCAACAUUAACGAAGUUGAGGGGAGAUCCAGCCACAUUAACCACCUNUCACGAAAACAAGUUUCGAAGCCAACUACACUUUUGUACUGAGCAUUUUCAUGUCACUUUCAUGAGGACUGAUUGGUUGUUGUUAUGGAAGAAGAAGAUUCUUACUUAAUUGUGUAUAUCAUUUUUUUUACAGGCUCAUUUUUUCAUUUAUAUUUUGUGCUAUGUUUAGGGAGGUCACAGAAUCUGUAAAUCAAGUAAAGAAAUCAAUUUUGUAAAUAGUAUUGAAAUGAUGGAUGAUGAUGAUGAGGAUGAGGAUGAGGAUGAUGUAAAAGUCCACAUUGAACCCUUUCGGGAUUGAAAAGUUGCAUUUUCCAUGUCUACCUAAAUGAAAUACCUAUUUCUCUGAAGAGAGUUCAGCACUUGUCACGAGGCUGUUUGUCAACACACAUCUGGCUGAGAGCAUAUUGACUCCCACUGUUCUUUGUCAACAUUACAGCCGGACUGGAGACAUUGAUCGUACAAUGUUGCCACACUUCUCUGUCGUGGGGAGAAUCAGGGGGAUAUCAUGUCCUCUGUAGUACAUUUGUUGAUUAAAUACCACAAGCUCUAAAAUGAUGUUAGUUUUUUCAAGUGUUUAGAUGUAAUAUUUAGACAAUGAAGGUGGGAAUUGAUGUUUUUACUCUAACCCGUUGACAUAAUUUAAGUUUGUGAAAUAUUGUAGUUGACUCUUUACUGAUGCAAAUUUUUGUCCCAAGUUUAAAGUAUUAAGUUUUAAAGAAGUUACCUUUUCAAGUAAGCAAGUUGAACUGAAACAUUGUCAGGAACUGAAAAACUCAAGGGGUCGUUGGGAAGCCAAGUGGUUGAAACAUUCAUUCCUUAUGUCCAAAACCUAGGUUCAAUUCCCAACAUGAGAUAUUAUUUUCUCUGCAAUACAUUUGUUGUUUAAAUACCACAAAUUUUAAAAUGAUGUUAUUUUUUUUCAAGCGUUUAGAUGUAAUAUUUAGAAAAUGAAGGUGAAAUUUAUGUUUUUAGUAUUAACCUGUUGACAUAAUUUACAUUUUUGAACAGUUGACUAUCUUAUGAUACUAAAUUUGAUCCCAUUACUAAAUUCUUUUAAAAGUUACCUUUUCAAGACAGUUGAGCUGUGAAAAGAACUUCGAAAACACAAGGUAGGUGGGCUAGCCUACUGGUUAAAAUUUUCAUUCCUUAUGCUGAAGACCUGGGUCCAAUUCCCCAUAUGAUUUCAAUGUGUGAAGCAAAUUUCCUGUGUCUUAUGCUGUUUUAUUGCUGGAAUUGUGCUAAAAGCGGUAUAAACCCAGACUCAAGCACUAAAAGCACAGCAUGCCUCAGAUAUUAGUUUUGGAUUUAAAUUUAUUAAUCAAAUCAUUUAUAGGUGACCGUGAUGUGGCAGCUUCCUAUACCUCACUCACCAAAUCACAUUUUCUUGAAAUAAAAUAUGUCACUACCACCAUGAAUAAUGUCAACAGAAGGCAAGAUACUAUAUGGAUGACAAUUGUUUAUUGUAUUGUAAUACAGCAUUUCAGUAUUGAUAUACAUACAUGUCUAUAUCCUUACAUCGUUUUUAAUCAGGAGUCCAGAAGCUGUCAUCCAUAAAAUAUUUUGCCUUUAUUGCUUCUAUUCAAAUUCUAAAAUGCUAAUCUGACAGACCAUGAAUGACAUGACUCUAGUACCAGUACACUAGUCAGUCACUCACUCACCGAAAAUCUCAGAUUCGCCAUCAUUGUGAUUUAAAAUAUGUGAAAGCUGUCUCCAGUGUGAUAAGACUCUGGUACUGUUAAACCGUCUCCAGUGUGAUAAGUCAGUUAAACCGUCUCGGUCAGUCAGUUACUCGCUGAAAAUCUCAGAUCACCUUCAUCGUGAUCUAAGAUAUGUGACAGCUGUCCCAAGUGGGAUAAGACUCUGGUACCGUUACACCAUCUCGGUCAGUCAGUUACUCAAGCUAUUGUGAUAUUGCUGCAAUAUUGCUGAAAGCAGUAUUUAAUCAAACUUGUUCCCGUUCAUAUUGCACGGUUAGUUUUUUUACAGGUAUACACAAAUUUAAACAGUUACAGAAUGGCCAGCAUGAGUGUCAUGUAAAGGCAACAUAUAUGUGGAUAUCAACUUUGUGGUGUUAUGAUAUUUUUUGUUUUUAUAAGGAUCGAUCUUUAUAAUCUUGUCUGAACCGAUACACCUGAAAUAAAGGAUUUGUCAUCGAUUCAAUAUCUUGUCAUAUUGAAGACCCGUGUUCGAUUCCCUACAUGGGUACAAUGUGUGAAGCCCAUUACUGGUGUCCCCAGUCAUGAUAUUGCUGGAAUAUUGCUAAAACCGGCGUAAAAUUAAACUCACUUACUAUAAAAUAUCUCGCCUUUACUGUUACCUAGCAACUUACAAUCCAUAUCAACAGUUCAUGUUUACUAUGAUCUUUUCAACAUAGUUUACUUAAAUUGUUUUUAUGUGGUCUUGAUCGAGCGUCUCAGCAUGGUAGCUAGAAUGAGGUAGCUUAGGUUGGUUUGUUAUUGAAUGUCCGAGAACCUGUGUAAUGUUUGGAAUUUGUGUUUAACAGAAUCCUCUGAAUCCCAGAAAUAUUUUGACGAAGAUAUGUGUAUAUUUUGUCCAUUUUAGAUCAUUCAUAUAUAAAUGGGUCUCUUAGCACAAGGUUGUUAGGAUAACAUUAGAAUCAAAAUAUGAGUUAUUUCUGUGAUGGAAUAGUGUGCUUCUUGUAAUAAUUUAUGUCUGACUAUCUGACAUAAAUGUAAGGAGAGUGAAAUACAAAAUUAUAAACUUAUAUCAGUGACAUGUCAUUUGUUUUAUUAUUUAAACAUUAGCAUUUCUAGCAUGUACAUAUGUAUUUCAUUAUGUUUGUAUGGGUUGGUUGGUCAGGCUCCAGACUUGGUGGAUGCAUGUCAUCGUAUGCUAAUUGUGUAGAUCGAUGCUCAUGAUAUCAAUCACCAGUUUGUGUAGUCCAGACUCAAUUAUUACAGAUUGAAUAUUGCUGAGUGCUGUAGUAAACAAGAAACCAAAUAGAUAUGUUAGCACUCGGCCUUUGCUUGCUAUUUUACAUUCUGUGAAUAAAAGAAUAUCAGAGAUGCCAACUCAUACGAUUUUAUCAUAUUCGUUACGAAAAAACAACACAAAAUAUGUGACUACGAUAACAGUAAAAAUAUACGAAUUUUUAAAAAAUACUUUAAAUUAUCAAUAGCGUAUAUACCAUACACAAUAAAUUGCAUCCACAUGUUAAUCAGUAUCAGGCAAUGUGUGGAUACUUACUACUGAUUUAGGUGAGUACAAUUUUAAUAACAAGUUCUCAGAAUAUCUAUACAUUCUGUAUUAAAUAUGAAAAUUCUUUGGAAUGGUUAAUACUAAUUUUUGCAUCAGUUUUUUGGCAAAAAUACUAAUUGGGCUUAAAUUUAGGGUUGGCAUCUCUGGAAUAUGUGUAGCUACUUUCAACAUGUUGAAUAUGUUCCGUAUAAGUACCUGUAGAAUCAUUAGAUAUUAUUCAAGAUAAUGUGUUAGCCCAAACCAAUUUUUCAUGUUAAAUGAUGAUUCCAACAGAUGACCCACCUUUUUCCUGUAACCAUGGGAACAUAUUUUUCUGUUUCUGUUAGAAUAGUCAUUUGUGUGUUUCAAAGAUGGUGCUAAUCCAGCUGAAGUGUAUAUUGUCGUAUAUUUUCAGAUACCAAAACCAAUUCAUAGAUGAUGAAAUAAAGCAGUAUUGCUCAUUACUGUACAUGAGGUGAUGAGUUUGUUUUCAUCCACUUAAACACUAACAAACAAUGGAGAAUGGGUCCUUAAGUAAUAUCAUUCUUUUUGGUGUUUUUUUUAAUAUUUCGGAGCUAAAGUAUUUUUUCCAACAUAAACAGAAACUGAAAUAUUAUUUUUGUAUAUGUGCAAAAUAACAAACCUUAGACACAUAUUUUGUUCUUUUCCCACAUUGCAAGGCUUUUGUAUUUCUGUUUUCAGAAAAGGUUUUGAUUAUUUAGUAAACUGCCAUGAUAUAAUUGAAAUAAAAGUAAUCAUGCUUCAUGAUGCCAAAAAACAACA